rnacentral:rRNA from 1 species
GUGGGGAAUCUUGCGCAAUGGGCGAAAGCCUGACGCAGCCAUGCCGCGUGAAUGAUGAAGGUCUUAGGAUUGUAAAAUUCUUUCACCGGGGACGAUAAUGACGGUACCCGGAGAAGAAGCUCCGGCUAACUUCGUGCCAGCAGCCGCGGUAAUACGAAGGGGGCUAGCGUUGCUCGGAAUUACUGGGCGUAAAGGGCGCGUAGGCGGACAGCUUAGUCAGAGGUGAAAGCCCAGGGCUCAACCUUGGAAUUGCCUUUGAUACUGGCUGUCUUGAGUUUGGGAGAGGUGAGUGGAACGCCGAGUGUAGAGGUGAAAUUCGUAGAUAUUCGGAAGAACACCAGUGGCGAAGGCGACUCACUGGCCCAAUACUGACUCUGAGGCGCGAAAGCGUGGGGAGCAAACAGGAUUAGAAACCCGGGUAGUCC